rnacentral:lncRNA from 1 species
UUUAAAAGGACUGGAGAUAGAUCUGCAGGUGACUGAGCUAUAGGGAAGAAGGGCGCUCAUGCAGCCUCACGGACAGGGCGAGGAGGUUCCACUUGACAGGGUGGCCUGUUUAGUGGAUCCACUAAUGGGUUAACAUUUAAUGCAUGUGUUCUUUGUGCCCGGAAUUGUGUUAAGACCCUAAAUGCACUAUCUCUUUUAAUUAUCACUUUAACUAUAUGAUACAAGCAUGGUAACACCCUGAACAGAGGGGGGAAGUCCCCAAGUUAAUAGGGAGAAGUAACAUGUAUUACCUAACUGUUCGUUGGAGGUAAAUUGAACAUAUAAACCCAGGUUUCCGACUCCAGAACCCGUGUGUUCAUAUUUCAAACUGAGCUAUCAUCUUUCCCAGAAAGCAACCUCUUCUCCAGACACCUCUAGUCCUUCCAAUGGAAUGAAAUUCUCAGUGAUUUGUUUUUUUUAAGGUAAAUAUAACAAAGUAGGCAUAUCUCCUUGAUGUAACCAAACUAAAGUGGCAUAUUGGCUCCGUUACCUGCUGCAGCAUAACAACCCGAAAAGAUACAGCUUCCGCAGCUGCUUUCUUAGCUGUUGGUGCUAAGGAUUGGCCAGGGCUCCGUGGGUGCCCCUGGUGCCUUACCUGAAGCUUCUUAUGCCCCCAGGCAGACAACUGAAGCUCCGUGUCCAGCUCUAAUGCUCCUCUCAGCAGCUGCAUGCGUUUCCCCCCCACCCACAGAAUUUAUUUUUUUAGAGCAGUUUUAUGUUUACAGAAAACUUGAGAAAAAUUCCACACCUAGCUUUCCCCAUUACUAAUAUCUUAUAUUAGUAUGGUACAUUUGUUACAAUUAAUGAACCAAUAAUGAUGUGUAAUUAUUGACUAAAGUCCAGAUUGUGUUUUCUAAUUUCUUUACUUUGUAGCUAAUGUCUUUUCUUGUUCCAGGAUCUCAACAAGGACACCAUGUUAUAUUUAGUUGUGUCUCCUUAGGCUCCUGAGUGUACUUGUUGUCUUGCUUUUAGUGUGUGUGUGUGUGUGUGUGUGUGUGCGUGUGUGUGCGCGCGCGCGCGCGCGGUGUCUUAUCCUCCAGGUCCUCUCCACACAGUACCCCCCCCCACACACACACACACACUCGUACAUACAAGCAGGAUUGCCUGAAUUUCAUACACAGUGGCUCAAGACUUUAGGAUAGAGGAAGUAGAAGUUACCACACUCUCAAGUCUGGGCUCAAAUGUCCCAGGGCAUCACUUCCUCGGCAUCCUCUUGGUCAAAGCAUCACAGAAUUCAGGUAGGGAGACAAGUUCCACCUCUGGAUGGGCAGAGCAGCACGUGUGUGCACAGAUCAUGGGCACAGUCGUCACAGAACCUCUUUAGAGGCAAGCUACCCUAUGUAUGCCAGGCGAAUGUCAUUGAUCGUUUAGUUGAUUUGUAAGCAGGUAAUGAUGAGAUCAUUAUGAGAAAGUGAGAACAGAAUGGCACAGUGAUACUGAAUUCAAAUUCUUAUUUCAGGCAUAUAUCUCAAAACCAAUUGUUGCAACAGGCUAUCACAUCUUAAUACAAAUAUGUAUUUUUCAUGGAAUUAAAUCAUUCCUAAAAAUGUUUAAUGUGCCUUGUGUCGAUGUGGUACUUUUAUUCUUUAGUAAAUAUAAAGAUCAUAUGUACAGCAUUAAUAAAAUUAGUCUUUACUUUUAGUAUAGAUUAGGAAUUGUGGUUCCCUACAGAAGCCUCAGUUGUCCCCAGGCCUAAGAAUUAAAUACUGAUACUUUGACAACACAGCCUAAAUUUUCUGCUUUGCGGACGCCAGAUUUAUUUUUAAAUGGUGUGAAUCAAAUCUGUGCUGAGAGGCCAACUUCAAAAUAUAAAAGAAAAAUUGGCAAUGGAAAGAUUUUGCUGGUUUGGCUGAAGUGAAGCGCUCUACAGCAUUUCAUUCUAGUGGAGCGUCUGACUGUGAAAAUCUUUCCAAUUGUAAUUCUCUUUGGCUUGCCAAAAGGGGAUUAUGAACAAAAGUCAAUGUUGCAGGAAAUGUCACCUGUCUUUUGAAGGAAAAUAAAAAAUCAAAAUGGCUUUGUUCAUCAUAUUUAAAAGAAAAAAAUGUGUUGAUCGAC